rnacentral:rRNA from 1 species
AACGAACGCUGGUGGCGUGCUUAACACAUGCAAGUCGAACGAGAAAAUUUCCUUCGGGGAACUAGUAAAGUGGCGCAAGGGUGAGUAACACGUGAAUAAUCUGCCCUCGAGAUCGGGAUAACAUGGUGAAAACUAUGCUAAUACCGGAUAAGACCACAUUUCAAAAGAAAUGCGGGAAAAGGAGUCUCAACCUUCACUCGAGGAUGAGUUCGCGCAACAUUAGCUUGUUGGUGAGACAAAAAGCUCACCAAGGCUACGAUGUUUAGCCGGCCUGAGAGGGUGAUCGGCCACACUGGAACUGAGACACGGUCCAGACUCCUACGGGGAGGCAGCAGUGGGGAAUAUUGCGCAAUGGGCGAAAGCCUGACGCAGCAACGACCGUCGUGAGCGAUG